UACGGAGGGUGCAAGCGUUAAUCGGAAUUACUGGGCGUAAAGCGCUCGUAGGCGGCCUGUUACGUCUGCUGUGAAAUCCCGGGGCUUAACCCCGGGCGUGCAGUGGAUACGGGCAGGCUGGAGGCAGGCAGGGGAGAACGGAAUUCCCGGUGUAGCGGUGAAAUGCGCAGAUAUCGGGAGGAACACCGGUGGCGAAGGCGGUUCUCUGGGCCUGUACUGACGCUGAGGAGCGAAAGCGUGGGGAGCGAACAGG
rnacentral:rRNA from 1 species